UCUACUCUUACUCUUCCUUUGUUGAACCUCAAUAUAUUUUCUUACUAUUCCCUUUAAUUUUAUUCUAUUUUCCAAUCUUCGCUAUACUUGAUUUUUCCUAGAAUUACUGUUCAAAAGCUUGCACUUGAUUUGAAUAUUGUUCUUAACCUCAAUUGAUUGAAUCUGUUCAUCUUCCUUCCGUUCCCAGUAAUAAGAAAUGUAGUGAGGAAGAUAUAUAACAGUCAAAAUUCAUUUCGGUGUAAGGUCUUGAAAGUGAAUCAGAUAGGAGUAGCAUUGCAAAGAAGUUUCGUAGAUAGUCUCCAAAACACCAAAAACUUGCGUCUCUCAAACUUUCAAUCCAAAACUGAUCAUCAUCCAGUAUCCCACGCGCCAUACAUGCUUCUUUGUAUGAUUUGUAGACAACUCCUUUGUAUUUUUUGAUGUCGUCAUAACAGGUUGGACCCUUGACAAUAUUUAGUAA